UUUUGUUGUUGUUUUAAGCCCUGGGCUUUCCAAGCUUAACUUUCUCACUACCAUUACACUGAAAAAGAGCCCUUGAAAGUUUUGCUCCGAUCUUGCACAUUCUUUUGGAAGUCUUACUGUGGAAAUUGUACGUAUUUUCAGCUUCCACAUCCCUUUCUCCUGGGGGAUUUCUUUUCCGUUUUUUUUUUUUUUUUUUGUUACUGUGUCUCUUUGCUUUCCUCCGCAACUGCUUUGUUGUUGUUGUUGUUUCUUGUAAACCACUUCACAAAAGUGAACUAGUUGCCGUUUAAUUAGAAGUUUGGAUGAACUGCCCCCAAAAUAAAGGGAAUCAGAACAGUCAUGAAAGUUGACUCCAAUUGGAGGGAUGGCUCUGAUCAAUUACUCUUUCCACAGGAAUUGAACAGCUUGGACUUGGAGACAGUGAAUUAAAACAGAAAUAAGAAGGCGGCAGAAAAAGACUAUACCAGAUUGAAAUGUGUUGGAUAUUCAUAUCCACCCAGCACCUCAGAAUGUGGCCAUGGAGGAGGGAGACAGAGAUUGGAGUGACGCAUCUUCAAGCCUAGGAACACUAAGGAUUGCUGGUAACCACCAGAAGCUGGGAGAGGCAACAAAGUGUCCU
rnacentral:antisense_RNA from 1 species